AAUGCAUAAUGUAGGCAUUUUCUAAGCAUUUCCUUAAAUCUUUCCCAACUCUCAUAAAUAGAUUCUCCAUCAAAUUGAUUAAAAGAAGUUAUGUCGUUUCUAAGUUU